UUUUCGCACUCUGGAGAGCGGCAGUAGCCGUCUGCAUCGUUCAAACAUGCAGAUCUGGCAGGCUGCCCACCGAAGGGGCGCGCGUUUCACCGUGACGAAUUCACGUUCUCACGGCGGCGCAAUCUCUCAGGUAUCGAGGACAGAGGGGUCAUG
rnacentral:ncRNA from 1 species